GCUGCAAUGCAGGUAUCUCCAGGAGGGAAGCUCCCAGGCAUACCCCAAGGCAACCUUGGUGUUGCUGUAUCUCCUACCAGCAUUUCAUACAGACAAGAGCACAAACAGUCCACCACCCAAAAGCAAGAAUGAAGUGGCACAGCCACUGAAACUAUCAGCUUAAACCCAAGACCUCUGAUGGCAAAUCACCCACAUCACCCACCUCUCCCCAUAUGCCAGCUCUGAGAAUAAACAGUGGGGCAGGUCCCCUCAAAGCCUCUGUCCCUGCAGCGUUAGCUAGUCCUUCAGCCAGAGUUAGCACAAUAGGUUACUUAAAUGACCAUGAUGCUGUCACUAAGGCAAUCCAAGAAGCUCGGCAGAUGAAGGAGCAACUUCGGCGGGAACAACAGGUGCUUGAUGGGAAGGUGGCUGUUGUGAAUAGUCUAGGUCUCAAUAACUGCCGGACUGAAAAGGAAAAAACGACACUGGAGAGUCUGACGCAGCAACUGGCAGUUAAACAGAAUGAAGAAGGAAAUUUUAGCCAUGCAAUGAUGGAUUUCAAUAUGAGUGGAGAUUCUGAUGGAAGUGCUGGAGUCUCAGAGUCAAGAAUUUAUAGGGAAUCCAGGGGACGUGGUAGCAAUAAACCCCACAUAAAGCGUCCGAUGAAUGCCUUAAUGGUGUGGGCUAAAGAUGAACGAAGGAAAAUCCUUCAAGCCUUUCCUGACAUGCACAACUCCAACAUCAGCAAGAUAUUGGGAUCUCGCUGGAAAGCUAUGACAAAUCUAGAGAAACAGCCAUAUUAUGAGGAGCAAGCCCGCCUCAGCAAGCAGCACCUGGAGAAGUACCCCGACUACAAGUACAAGCCCAGGCUGAAGCGCACCUGCCUGGUGGACGGCAAGAAGCUGCGCAUGGGCGAGUACAAGGCGAUCAUGCGGAACAGGCGGCAGGAGAUGCGGCAGUACUUCAACGUCGUGUACGGACUCCUCCGUCGCUUCUUCCCGGGGAAACACUUCCUGUUAUACUUAAUAGCAUGUGAAACGUGUUUGCUUACUUGCAAAGUGGCUUUUGAAAAAGAACCUGAAUUCU